UGUGUCUGGGCCUUAAAAGGUAAGGUUGAUGAAUACUGUGUGAUAAGGUUGAAAGCUCAGGAAAAAAGAAAUAACUAGACCUUGAGUUGGGAUUGUUUGUCCAGGUCAAGAAUGAAUAUUGCUGGUUUUCAAGUCGCAAAAAUGUUUCUGAGCCUCCUCCAUCUGCUGAUUC